rnacentral:rRNA from 1 species
AGCGGUUGGAGUGUUAUGGGUCUUUUGGUUUUGGGGGAUUUAAGUGGCCGCUUAGCGGUUGGAGUGUUAUGGGUUCUUUGUUUUUGGGGAAUUUAAAAGAUAAGCGGCCUCCUUAUAUAUGCUAGUACAUGUGCGAACAGGUGAGGAAACCCGGAGAACUAAGUUUUUGGGCGGGGUCGGAGUCGUAUUAGGCAGAAGGCGGGAUAAAGGACCACCUUGCCGAAGAUGCGCCGCUUUAAUUGAAAGCCACAUUCUUACUGAGACAAGGGGGAAACUCAAAUGGGGGCGUUGGCCCUUGGGGCAGCAGUAAGGAAUCUUGUGCAAUAUACGAAAGUAAGACACAGAGAGGACGUAGUUUACCUGAUCCGUCAAAUUAAGUGCCAGCAGACGCGGUGAAACUUAAGGGUUAGUUUUAUAGGGGAAAGCGUAAAGAGUGUGCGUGGGUCGCUCUGUUAUUAAGAGGGUAAAUGGAAUUUUUUUGUAGUGGUGAUAUAUUUAAAUAGGAAAAAGAACUUUAGAUGUGCAGGCGAUUUACCUCUAAGACUAUAGUGUCGGGGCUAAAAUAUGAGAGUGGGGAAAAUGAACAGGACCUGGCGCCCUGGUAAUCCAUACUGUAAACAAUGAAGGAGUGUGGAGUAGGCCCAAAAGGUAAGAAGUUUUUUCGCUUGAGUAGUACGAUCGCAAGAUUAAAAUUCAAAGAAUUUGGUGGUGUACUGUUUUCAUUAGAGGAGCGUGUUGUUUAAUUCGAUAGUCCGCGAGACACCUUACCCAAAUUUGAAUUCUUUAUUGACAGGUAUUGCAUGGCCGUCGUCAGUUUGUGUAUAAAACAUAAAACAGGUUUAACCCAGUGAUUCAAUUGGAUGAAGUCAGGUCUUAUUGUCCUAAUGUUUGGGGAUUAGAUGCGCUACAUUUUUUUAUAUAAUGGGAGAUUUUAAAGGGGAAACCUUAAAAUAAGAGUUCGGAAGGUCCUUGGAAGAUAGUGGAAAGUUGUAUUUAAUAGUAAUUGAAAAGUAGAGCGUUUCAGUGAAAUUGGUUCAGUAUAAGUACAAAUCGCCCGUCGCCUUUGCUUAAAGAAGUCGUUUGAACGCCCCUUGGGGUUCCGAGCACUCAUGAGGUAGAGUAAGUCGUAACAUAGUUAGAGUGGGGGAACUGGCUCUUGGCGUCAGAGUUUUAGAAAAUAGAAUAUAGAGAUAGGGUGGGCUCAAGCAAAUAAAAAAGCAAAUAAGUUGUAGCAAAAAGGAUAAAGGCCCUUAGCAUUUAGGUAAUGGAAGACAUGGUAAUUCCGGUGUUUAACGGGGGACCGUUCCUCUAUUCGUUAAGUCUUCCUGUGGCCCCAGGAGUAUGCACGCGGCUUGAUGGUGUUGGUAGCGAAUGCUGUCAGGUUAUGUGAUGCGAUAUGCCAUCGGGCCGCUGUUGUCCGGUGUCGCCAAUUUCUGGGUUGAUAGGAUUGUUAUAUAUAGUACUGAGCUUUAGCUAUGGGGCUAGGUUCGGCUUUCGUAGUAAAUUGCGUUGUACUAUAUAGGGACGGGGGGCCUUGGUAAUUGUGAUAGUUAUGUUUAUUUGA